UGUACCACGUGGUGUGAAACCAGCUUCUAUAACCUGAGUCACACGCAGUGGAACAGCGUUAGCCUGACUGUGUCUGUCCCCGCCUUCCACACAUGCUCCACAAGAACUGACUAUGAUCUUCCCGGUGCUGAUUGUGCUUUCAUUCACGGUGUUUCCAGCAGAGGCUCGAAAUGUUAUCCCCACUUCUUCUGAAUUGUGCAUGAGGAACUGGUGUGGACGAGUCUCAUUUAGUAUAACUUCGGGCAAGGGUACAUCCAACAAUGGUUACUGGCUGUGUCAACUUGGCAGACAGUUCUGCUUAUCCAGCACGACAGCACGGCCAACUACGACAACAACAACUGCCAUAAGAACUACGCCAACUACAACGACGACCAGCACAACUAAGCCAACUACAACGACUACAACCACCACUACAACUACGCCAACUACAACGACCACCACCACUACUACAACAACCACAACUACUACUACUACUACUACCCCAACUACAACGACAACUACUACUACUA